AGUCGAACGGUAACAGGUCUUCGGAUGCUGACGAGUGGCGAACGGGUGAGUAAUACAUCGGAACGUGCCCGAUCGUGGGGGAUAACGGAGCGAAAGCUUUGCUAAUACCGCAUACGAUCUACGGAUGAAAGCAGGGGACCGCAAGGCCUUGCGCGGACGGAGCGGCCGAUGGCAGAUUAGGUAGUUGGUGGGAUAAAAGCUUACCAAGCCGACUGAUCUGUAGCUGGUCUGAGAGGACGACCAGCCACACUGGGACUGAGACACGGCCCAGACUCCUACGGGAGGCAGCAGUGGGGAAUUUUGGACAAUGGGCGAAAGCCUGAUCCAGCCAUGCCGCGUGCAGGAUGAAGGCCUUCGGGUUGUAAACUGCUUUUGUACGGAACGAAAAGACUCCUUCUAAUAAAGGGGGUCCAUGACGGUACCGUAAGAAUAAAGCACCGGCUAACUACGUGCCAGCAGCCCGCCGGUAAG
rnacentral:rRNA from 1 species